rnacentral:rRNA from 1 species
ACCUACGGGACGCAGCAGUGGGGAAUAUUGCACAAUGGGGGGAACCCUGAUGCAGCGACGCCGCGUGGGUGAGGAAGUACUUCGGUAUGUAAAGCCCUAUCAGCAGGGAAGAAAAUGACGGUACCUGACUAAGAAGCCCCGGCUAACUACGUGCCAGCAGCCGCGGUAAUACGUAGGGGGCAAGCGUUAUCCGGAUUUACUGGGUGUAAAGGGGGCGCAGACGGCAAUGCAAGCCAGGAGUGAAAGCCCGGGGCCCAACCCCGGGACUGCUCUUGGAACUGCAUGGCUGGAGUACAGGAGGGGCG